UACGUAGGGUGCGAGCGUUAAUCGGAAUUACUGGGCGUAAAGCGUGCGCAGGCGGUUUUGUAAGCCAGAUGUGAAAUCCCCGGGCUUAACCUGGGAAUGGCAUUUGGGACUGCAAGGCUUGAGUGCGGCAGAGGAGACUGGAAUUCCUGGUGUAGCAGUGAAAUGCGUAGAUAUCAGGAGGAACACCAAUGGCGAAGGCAGGUCUCUGGGCUGACACUGACGCUCAUGCACGAAAGCGUGGGGAGCAAACAGG
rnacentral:rRNA from 1 species